GGCAGUGUUUUGCUGUCCGAGUUGUAAUCUAGAGAAGUGCUGCCCGUGCUGGACCGUGUACAAGUCUCCUGGAAUGGAGCGUCACAGAGGGUGAGAAUCCCGUCUUUGACAUGGACUGCCAGUGCAUUUGUGGUGUGCUCUCAAAGAGUCGAGUUGUUUGGGAAUGCAGCUCUAAAUGGGUGGUAAACUCCAUCUAAAGCUAAAUAUUGGCGAGAGACCGAUAGCGAACAAGUACCGUGAGGGAAAGAUGAAAAGAACUUUGGAAAGAGAGUUAAACAGUAUGUGAAAUUGUUGAAAGGGAAACGCUUAAAGUCAGUCGUGUCGGCCAGGGAUCAACUCAGUUUUUUCUGCUGGGUGUACUUCCUGAUCUGAUGGGCCAACAUCAGUUUUGACUGCUGGAGAAGGAUAGAGGGAAUGUGGCACCUUUGGGUGUGUUAUAGCUCUCUGUCGGAUGCAGUGGUUGGGACUGAGGAAAGCAGCAUGCCGCAAGGCCGGGUUGUUUCAACUACGUUCAUGCUGAGGAUGUUGGCAUAAU
rnacentral:rRNA from 1 species